ACCAGUUUGGUGGUGAUGGAUUCUGAAAUUAAACUUACUAAGGUGUCUCCAUUUUGGUAUGCACACCAAUAUAUAUUGAUAAUGACAUUGCAAAUGUCGCUACUAGAGGUAGUGUAUGGCAAUGAUAACACUAAUCUAAUAUGUUCACCACAGGAACUGUCCCCAAAAGUUUUCACAAAACAUAAAACUACUAUUAAGUGUAGAGGCAAAUAGGUAUAGACGUAUGCACCUUUACAGCAUUGUAUUUGUAAAAAAUGGGAGAAGCUGGACAAGCAAGGUGGUAUAUGCGAUCAACCUCCACUAGCAAUGGCUCUGUCACAUCUGCAAGACACAAAAAAUAUUUAAAUGAUCUGAAUCAGUGGUUGGGGACUAUGCAAGAUCAAUAUCAAUAUUAACUAUUAAGAACAAUACCAGAGAUGCUAGUUAUAAUUAUGUUUUUGUAAUUGUUUUCAGACACUGUUUAUUGAUCUGAAGGAUUUCAUCAAAAUGCCAGAAAGCAAAAGGGCAAACAACUCUAAACUAAAAAGAAGAGAACAAUGAAUCAGCCAUUCGAUAAGACAGGACACAAGGUAAACCUUUUGAAUCUAACAGUCUAUUCAACAACAUGAAAUUUGCAUAUGGGGUAUUAAGGACAAACAUAAAUAUUGACUACCACUAUUAUACACAAAACUUGCAUUUGUUAACAGAGAGCCAAUAAAGAAUACCAUGUCGAAUAAGCUCGAAUCUGGGGUGCCCAAUCCAUUUUUUCAAGUUGUCUUUGGAACCAGUGAAGUAAUUAUCAGCAACGAUAACCUGUGCAAUAAAAAAAACAAAUAUUAUAGCCCAAAUAUACAUAACAUGACAUCCCUGUUCUUCAAGAGUUGAAACUAUAAAAUACAAAGUGAAGAAAUUCAAAUACCUCAUUUUUCUCAUUUUCCAUUAGUCUGUCAACUAGGUGAGAGCCAAUGAAUCCAGCUCCCCCAGUAAUCAAAAUCCUCAUGUUAGACUGUCAUUAAAUGUGAGAAAUUGAUUAAAUGGUUGUAAUAAGAAGAUAUCAAUUACAGCAUAGUAUUAGAAAUUUAAUUGCAACGGCGACAUCAGGACAAAUGAAAACAACUAAUGUUAACUCAAUUCUUAUAAAUAGACAAAAAGAUGAGAACUUUACCUGAAAAAACUUAGAAUUUCGCAAUGGUGAUGGAGAUGGAGGUGGCUUAGUUCCUACUUGCAGAUUCCCAUUCGACGCCAUUGAUUAUACAAAAUUUACCUGCUAUAAUUUCCCAAUUCAACCAAUCAAUAUCUUAACAAGUCCACCAUUUCAACUCCAAUAAAUCCCAAAAAACCAAAAUUAAAUCGAAAAAAAAACACACUAUGAUCAUAAACAAAAACACAAACCUGAAACAAAGUAAAACCAAAAACCCUAAAUUUCUUGUUGAUUGAUAAAACCCUAUGAAAUCUAUGUGAGAUCAAAGGUUUAUAUAAUCUCAACAAAAAAACACACCAAACGGUUGAUCAAAGCUUAAAAAAGAAGCAAUGUUGAUGAAAAAUAUAAAAUAAAGUGAAAACUUGAAGAUUAAGAUAACAUAAACACCAAACGUUUUCAGAUCUAAAUCUUAAAAAAACAAAAAAAACACAAUUACCUCGAUGGGUUUUGUAGUCUACAAGGUGAAAAAAUCUGUAGUUUUUAAUCUUGAAAAAAUGUGAAAUUUAUAGUAUAAAAUUAAAGUUGUAGGUUUAGCUAGAAAGCUAUACUUAGGAAUAAUUAACCUUAACAAAAUUACUUAAAAUGGGACCCACUACAUGGUAUUUUGCCUAAAAAUGGGACCUAUUCACUUAUGUACUUGUGUAGAGAUUGAAGAAUAUUCGUCAUUAGUUGCCAACUUGACAUGUUCUUACGUAAGCGAAAUCUUCUGACAAUUUGAUUAGAUGCUACCGGUAGUAAAGUAGCAACAAUUUUACCAUGAUCAUAGUGCAUUACAUGUUGGUGGUGCAUAGUACAUCAAGUGUAAACAAAUUAACAAAAUAUUGGUCAGAGGGGUUUGAAUUUGGAAGUCAAACUAUACCAAAAUAAGGGAUAUAUCUGUAAUUCCAACACAAAGAUUCUAAAAAUGGUUUCGUAAGCCUGUUUUUAUGAGAUCAGUAACCCGGUGAUUUGAAUCUCAGACCUCUAGUAUCAUCAUCCAAAGGUUUUACCAGUUGAGCCCAACCGACACCUAGAGGUUUUACCAUAUUAUGGCGAACUUAUUUGGUGCAAAUACUUGAAUCUGAUUUUGCAAAAUCGGAUUUACUGUAUUAGCAGAAUAUUCACAAAUAUCAAAGAUAUUUUCAUCCAUGAUUCAAACCAUCACUGAUUAUAUGACAUAUAGGUUGAUGAAGAUGUUAGGUGCAUGAUUUAAAUGACAUUUUGUGGUCCAUGGAAACAUAGCUCAUACAAUGCAACUAGCUAGGUAGAAAGUCAAGAUCACAUAUGACAACAGUACAACAGAGUGUGCCAGUGAUGGGGACAGGGGGACUCUUUAACGUCUUAAUUAUGGAAUUGUAUUAUAAUUAAGAAAGAAGAUAAUUUGUCUUAAUGAGUAUGUAGCAUGGAUUAAGGUACAUGUAUUGUCUUGUGGUUUGAUAUUACCAGUUGGAUUUACCAAAUUUGGUUGAAUCUUAUCCAACUCGAUUAAGAGAUAUGAUUUGCAUUAAAAUGGUUAUUAUCAAUUAAGAUUACAGAGAAUUGCUGCCAUGCAUAUGUUUCUAUGGCAAGUUAGUCACUAUCCAAAAAUUAUUACUGUUUUGCGUAUAUUCAAGAUAAUAUUCCUGCAAAGAUUUCAGCAAAAAAAAUUCCAAUCAAUACUAGGAUGGUAAAUUGGCUUUCAUGUAGAACUGUAUAAGAAGACCCAAUUAAUGCACAUACCUAUAAAGGAGAAGCAAUACGUAUAUGGUUUACUCCUCCUGUGUUGCUAGCUAGAGAAGUACUAUAAUGUGUCUGUGUGAAGGUUGUUCUUCUAACCAACCAGAACUUCUCCAUAAAUUUCCCUCAGAUGACAAGUUACUCUAAAGCAAAUCUAAUCUCAAGAUAGCUUAAGAUGUCACCACAAAGAUACUGUCGACUUGGUACUAUGAUAAUCCCAUUCACUUCUGCACCAAGGAGACGCUUUUGUCUAUCUUUUAUGUCCUCUGAACACAAGGCUUAUGACAUUCUUUGCGUAUCUUGGUUGAUUUACCAACGAAAUAUAUAGACAGUGCCCCAGUGUUUGCUGAAAAGAGAAAAAACAAAAAAAAACCAAGAUGGGCAUUGGGGGUGAGCAAGGAGAAUACAGCCCCAAAGCUGAAUUAUUAUAUCCAUUCAACACAAAAAUUUGCAACAAGACGCAUGAACAGCAGUCCCAAAACUGGAAAAAAAAAAGAGAGAGAGCGAAAGGAAAAAAAAAGAAGCUCUUCUUACAUUCACAACAAAAAGUGGUUCAAAUUUGAACGCAAAAAGUAAACUUAGAACAGUCACAUUUAUUUUGUAUGUAACAAAACGUAACACAUGGGACUGAUGCCCUACAGACUUUAUUCAUAACAACCAUUUGAGCUUCACUUCUUCUUGGCAACUCCAAGUCUUUGUCUGAAAUCUUCCUCCAUUAGAGGCAAGCCUUCACGUAAACUGACUUUGGGUUCCCAUCCAAGCAAUUCCUUUGCCUUUGUAAUAUCGGGUUUCCUUUGUCGUGGAUCAUCAGGUGUGUUUUCCACAGAUUGAAUCUUCACUGCAGGAUCGACAAGCUGCAAUCCACAUGAUCAAAUAUAUGAGUUGCCUGAACUAUACUUGAUGAAAUCCAAUCAGAAUAAGAGAAAUUGAUUGUUACGCAAACAAUUCAAUUGAAACUAAAACCGACCUCUUUCACUGUUUCAGCAAGUUCCAUCAUUGUAAAUUCACCUAGAGGACACAAAUGACCAAACUUAGAACCAGACAAACUACCAGAUUCCCAACUAGAACUUAUACAGUCUAAAUUCUAGAUAUGCAGUAAGAUUGUAAGAACCAAGAAUGCUUUCAAGUACCAGGGUUCCCAAUGUUGAUUGGUCCAGUGUUAUCUCCUUCCAUGAGUCGGAUAAGUCCAUCAACCUGGAACAUGUAAGAUGAGAAGUUCAGAAAUCAGAGACAAAUAUCAUUAAUGACAAAUUCAAUGUUUACCCAACUUAGGCAAAAAUUCAUAUUGAGCAUAUUCUGGAGUCGUGCUUACCAUGUCAGAGACAUAACAAAAACUCCUUGUUUGAGUUCCUGGAGCUUGAACAGUCAGGGCUUCUCCUCUAAACAAGCAAAAAGAACAUAUAUAAGCAAAAACCAACAUGUAAAAGAUGAUAAAUUUAUAAGGAUGCGCAGUAUGGUGGAAAAUCAAAAGAUAAAGGUUUCAUAUAGAAUAAGAAGGGUAACUAUGUGAUCAAUAUUGCAUGCAAAUACUAUUAAAAGUUACCGGAGUGCUUGAGCUAUAAAAUUGCUGACAACACGCCCAUCAUCGAUAUUCAUCCUAGGUCCAUAAGUAUUGAAGAUCCUAGCAACGCGAAUUUCUGUCAAGGAUUCACACACAUUAGGACAAGCAAUAACUUGCAUCCAAGAGUGUUUAUUAUUAUCAGAGCACCUGUUUCAUGCACAUGUGCACAUAAAGAAGAUUAGACCACUUUACCUAUGCCAUGCUGCCUGUGAUAAUCAAACAUUAAAGUCUCAGCAACACGCUUCCCCUCGUCAUAGCAACUCCUGACUCCUGUAACAUAUACAUCAUAAGCCCGUUAUUCCUGAGCAUAAUACUGUAAUAAUGAGCCGAUAUGACCAUACAAUUUGGUUUAUAAUUCCAACAAUUUGGUGUAGAUACUAAACCGUAUCUCACAUUGUUGUAAGUACAACUUUAUAACCAAUAUUAUCAGAUAAUUGAUCACAUAGCAUAUUUUAGAGGAUACAGAAUUUCUCAAAGUUCCCUAGGCUACUCCCAAUUAGGUCAAUGCUGGCACUAAUCAGAUAUUUAACCAGGCUGCAGGCGUUGAAGUGCAGUAAGCUGUACUUAUGUAACCAUUAGGAGGAACAGUCUGGCAAUUGUAUCUUCAUAACGAUAAUGCAGCUGGAUAAAUGUCAGUAAAAUUGAGAGAUGAACCUACCAAUCGGGUUAACAUUUCCCCAAUAGUCCUCAGUCUGGGGAUGCACAAGAGGAUCUCCAUACACCUCUGACGUUGAUGUCAAUAAAAUCCUGUAGGGCAAAUUCCAUAUCAUGGGUUAACGGGAGCGAAAUUAUCAUGACAAAAUUCUAUGUAAAACAAUAGAUCAAAGCCUCCAACCUUGCUCCAACUCGCUUAGCCAGUCCCAACAUAUUCAACGUACCAAGAACAUUUGUCUUUAUUGUCUGUUAUGCAUGAAGUACCAACAACGUAUGUAAGACAAUGCGAUUGUGAUUUAAUCGAUAUGUAGUUGGACUGACUUAUUUGCUACCCGUUUGACAGUGAAAGAAUCAUCCAUUACACUUAGUUGGGGUGUCUCCAUAUUUUUUUUCUUUGAUUGGAAAGCGGGGUUGAGGGAAUCCCUACCCCUUUUUAAUCUACGUGUUUCGAACCCACAACCUCUCCACUUUGUGAGAGGGGUGUCUCCAUAUUAGUAGGCACAUAUAUUUAUUUUUAAUAUGAGUAUAUGAAAUUACAAAUUUCACUUCUCGAAGUAAUGUAUAUCAAUUGUAAAACUAAAUUAAAUUGUAUAUACAGUAUUAUGCCAUCUUCACUGCAGGAGCCAUCAGAAGAAUGUUUUAUAAACAAAAUAACAACAUAUACUUUGAAUAUAUAUGCAAAAAGUUUAGAUGAAUACCUUUACAGCAUUGUAUUUGUAAAAUAUUGGAGAAGCUGGACAAGCAAGGUGGUAUAUGCGAUCAACCUCUAUCAGCAAUGGCUCAGUCACAUC
rnacentral:lncRNA from 1 species